rnacentral:lncRNA from 1 species
GGAUGUAGUGGGAAGAAAAGAAGAAUCAAACCAGUGUUCUUGUAAAAGCUUAACUUCUAAUCGGCUCUAGGUUCCUGGUUGAUGAAAGCAAGAACAAGUCUAAAGACAGCUAAAAAAAAAAAAAUAAUAAAAUCACACAGCUGUCAAGGGAAAUUGGGAGUUGUUUUCCCUCAAGCUGUCCUCAAUGUCACCAUGUGGGCAUGGCGUGGUUUGUUUUGAUUGGGCCAUUAACUUGUAUCACUGAUAUGUGGUGGCCUCUGCAGUUUAAGACGCGGAAUCAAGGACUGAUUCGAACAAGAGGGAAAGGACUGGUCCUUUUUACUCAGGCAACUUAUUUUGGGUGCCCGGAGGGGCUGGGCACAGCUCUAAGCAUCACUGGGCAACAGUGACCAAGGUGUCUGUCCUACAGAACUUCACACACCGGGCCCUGAAGACUCAUGCAGAGAUGGGUGAACAACAGGCAGUAGGAGGUAUCAACUUGAGUGAAAAAGCAGAGACUUCAGUGACCCACAGGAGGUGUUAAGAACACAUGAACAGGGGCUCCUGUGGGCUGAUAAUUGUUGAAACUGCCUGCAAGUCUACCUUAGAGUACCAGAAAAUAAGGCUAGACUCUUUGGCACAGAAAGGGGCAGAGAGAUCAGGUAGAGCACCCCAGAAGACCCUGCCAGUCCUUCUCAAAUCAGUGCAUGCCGCUGACAUCCGGAUCUGGGCCCACUGAGGGUUUACUGUGGCUGUGACCUUCCUGGAAAAUAUGGUACACGACUACUUCCAGAAAAGGGGUCUGAAAGAAGAAUAAACAAGGCAUUGAGAAUCAGGAGAACUGAGCGCCAAUCUUAAUUCAUCUGUUUGACUUUGGGUAUUCUAAC